rnacentral:rRNA from 1 species
GACGAACGCUGGCGGCGUGCUUAACACAUGCAAGUCGAACGGAAAGGCCCUGCUUUUGUGGGGUGCUCGAGUGGCGCACGGGUGAGUAACACGUGAGUAACCUGCCCUUGACUUUGGGAUAACUUCAGGAAACUGGGGCUAAUACCGGAUAGGAGCUCCUGCUGCAUGUUGGGGGUUGGAAAGUUUCGGCGGUUGGGGAUGGACUCGCGGCUUAUCAGCUUGUUGGUGGGGUAGUGGCUUACCAAGGCUUUGACGGGUAGCCGGCCUGAGAGGGGGACCGGCCACAUGGGGACUGAGAUACGGCCCAGACUCCUACGGGAGGCAGCAGUGGGGAAUAUUGCACAAUGGGCGGAAGCCUGAUGCAGCAACGCCGCGUGCGGGAUGACGGCCUUCGGGUUGUAAACCGCUUUCGCCUGUGACGAAGCGUGAGUGACGGUAAUGGGUAAAGAAGCACCGGCUAACUACGUG